rnacentral:tRNA from 1 species
GCGCCCAUAGCUCAACUGGAUAGAGCAUCAGUCUUCGGAACUGAGGGUUGGGGGUUCAAAUCCCUCUGGGCGCA